ensembl:lncRNA
UUCUAGUAUAGGCUUUGAGCUGGCCUGGCCAGAAUCCUUUUUUUCCCAUUACAGCUGUAAGCUUUGGGUUUUGCCUUGAACAGUUUCUAGUCAUCUCCCUCUCUUCACUCAUGGUGAUGGACAGAACCCCCAAGACAGUGUAUUUCUGUGAGAAGGCCACUCAAUGUUGUAUGCUCUCAGUCCCUUCAUCAGCACCUCCACAUAAUGGCUUGACCCCCCCUCAGGAGGUGAAACCAAGGCUUGGCUCCAAACACUGUCCUUCAUCUGGAGACACUGUGUGGGAUGGUGUUGCCUCCAGAUGCUCCUUCAUUCUACAGGGUUGUUUUGUCUAUGAUGUUUUUUUUCCAUGUGAAGUUAAGAAUUGUUCUUUCAAGGUCUGUGAAGAAUUGUGUUGGGAUUUUGAUGGGGAUUGCAUUGAAUCUGUAGAUUGCUUUUGGUAAGCUUGCCAUUUUUACUUUGUUGAUCCUACCAAUGCAAUAGCAUGGGAGAUCUUUCCAUUUUCUGAUAGUUUCUUCAAUUUCUUUCUUCAAAGACUUAAAGCUCUUGUCCUACAGGUCUUUCACUUGUUUGGUUACAGUUACCCUAAGAUAUUUUGUUAUUUGUGGCUAUUGUGAAGGGUGAUGCUUCUCUGAUUUCUUUCUUAGCCCAUUUAUCAUCAGUAGAUAGGAGGGCUAGUGUGUGUGUGUGUGUGUGUGUGUGUGUGUGUGUGUGUGUGUGUGUGUUAACCUUGUAUCCUGCCACAUUACUGAAGGUGUUUAGCAGCUGUAGGAGUUCCUUGGUAGAAUUUUUGGGGUCACUUAUGUAUACUAUCAUAUCAUCAUGCAGCAUAGUCUUAAUGGAUAUAGUUACAAAACAUCUCUGCACUUAAGGCUUGGGGAACAUUAGGGAAGAGGGAAUAAAUGAUUGUAAGUGUUGGAGUAUCAGGGAAUAUUCUUUGAGAUUGUGUCUCCUAGUUACACCAGAAACUCCACAUAUAAAGUCUUAUCAACAUGACUGCCCAAGUGUAACUGAAGAACACCAUCAAUGGACCUGAAAAGUGGACAGAGAAAAGUUCAUGAGGUCUCAGCCCUACAAAAAGAACUAUAGGCACCUGGAGAAACUGGGAGCCAGAGAUGUGGUCUUUGCCAGGGAAGAGUACGACAAUUGAUUAUCUAGUGCAAAAUGGAUUGGAAAUUGAUCCACCUGAAAGAAUUGGAAAUUGAUCCACCUGAAAGUAUCCUUCCAGAGAAUUAGCUUUCAUAGGAUUAAAUGGUAUUAUGCAAGCUGUGAAGUUAUUAUGCAACCAAUAGUGUUACCCAUCCUUGAUCCCAAUGAACCACAACCACCAGCAUGACAUAGCCACAACUUUCUUCUGGUUUGGUGAAGGUUAACAUUUUUGUUCCAUCUUCUAUACUGUAUUGAUGUUUCCUGUACUAGAAUGCGUUAGAAGUAUGGACAACACACAACAUCAUGCAAAAGCCUUUUGCAGGUUCCCAGGCUGAUAUUCUAUUCUUUGGCUCUAGCACAGACAGACAUAUCAUGCAUUUUCUGGGCUCAGUAUGUUAAGCCUUCUGCAGACUACAUUCCUUGUGGAGGAGAAUGGUCCAUGCUCAUGCUCAUUCCGAAGACUCAGGAUUCCUUUUCCCUCCCGGAAUUUAGCACCCUGACUCUAUUCCAUUAAUAAGCCUGAAAAAACUCUGAAUGGUCCUCUUUUGUAGGCAUCCCUCCACUUUGCAUUACAGAUUUUUAAAUGUAUACCAUUUAUUUCUUUUUCAUUCCAGUUAGUUGUAAGAUGCAAAAGUCAUAAAUGUUGUGUGUGUUUAGAUUACCACCUUUUGUUCUAUAUAAGAGAGGAAAAUAAGGAGUGAAGAAAAAGCAAAGUGCUCUGUGAGUUUCUGAGAAGGGGCAAAGCGCAACACUUGUUCCUUUUGUGGAGUUAAUGUGAUGUGUAUAUAGAGUGUUCCAAAUGUGAAUGAAGAAGUAAAAUAUUUCUUCAUGUAGUUGACACUUGUCAAUAAGUGUUAUUCAUAGAUUUUUAAAGAAAUAGCAAAAUCUAACUUUUAAAAGUUCUUUAUUAUUAUUAAUGUGAAGGAUGUGCAUAAGAAGGAAAUACAGUUUUGAACGAUCUUAUUAACUGUUGCAUCUUUGUGUGUGUCUUAGGGCCAGAGUAUGGCAAAAAGUGUCACCCUGACUAGAAAAGAACUGUAUUCAAUUAUGGACCUAUAUUUUAGACACUUACUUUGGUUUGAAAAAUGCACUAUGAAGUCUCACAUUCAUGACACCUUGUUUUUUUAGGGAUGAAAAUCUCCAGUUUCUAAUAAGGCCAUUAUGGAAAUAUUUAUUCUUGUAAGUUGCCA